UCUGUUCACCGCAGUUACAGUGGCAAAUCAUUCCCUUCCUGCCUAAAGGGCAUAUGAAUACUCGAUUUGUCAGGAUUGGCUAUUCAGAUUCCAACUACUGUAACGUAAAGGCCUUCUUCAGCGAUCCCUUACAGUCGAGGAUGAUUGUCUUUCAUAACUGUCUUAUCUAUGUGACCAAAGAUGGCUGAUGAGGCCUAUCUGGGAUCAGAUACUAGCUAUGCUAGUUCUACAGCAGUUAACAAGGAUGAACGGCAAAAGUACUCUACUUGCUGCCAUUACUGAAUACUGUACUGCUUUAAUACGUCUCUUUUAGGAGGAAAGUCUGGAACAUUGACACUUUUUAAAUUCUUACUGCUUCACUUCCCAUAAUGCCAGAAUCCCAUGGAAAAUCACCCAUGUUUUGUAAUGAAACCUUCUAAGCCUGUGUAACCUCACAGCUACUCAUUUUGUUUAAGCGAAAACAAACCACAGCUUCAGUUCUGCCUCCUGUUGGGGUUCUAAAUUUUGGCAGUUUUUAUCACUCACAGGAAAAAUUCCUAUGAAUCACAAGUAAAACAUCAAAGGAGCUGUUACUCCCAGUUUAGGAUGAUAGGAAGUUUGUACAAUCCUCAGGAUACACAGUCAGACAAUGCCCAGAUAUGAACUGUUCUAGAAAAGCCUAAGUAUUUCUGCUUUACCUUUGGCACCUGGUCUUCCCAACUCUAACACCCCCUUUCUGUGCUCUACAGACAACUCCACUUCUUUCAAGACCUUUGUACAAAUAUCAGUUUAGAUAAUAAAUAAAUAAAU